CAGUAGCCACGGUAAUACGUAGGGUGCAAGCGUUAAUCGGAAUUACUGGGCGUAAAGCGUGCGCAGGCGGUUCGUUAAGACAGAUGUGAAAUCCCCGGGCUCAACCUGGGAACUGCAUUUGUGACUGGCAAGCUAGAGUGUGGCAGAGGGGGGUGGAAUUCCGCGUGUAGCAGUGAAAUGCGUAGAUAUGCGGAGGAACACCGAUGGCGAAGGCAGCCCCCUGGGCCAACACUGACGCUCAUGCACGAAAGCGUGGGGAGCAAACAGGAUUAGAUACCCCUGUAGUCCCUGUCUCUUAUAC
rnacentral:rRNA from 1 species